GACGAACGCUGGCGGCGUGCUUAACACAUGCAAGUCGAACGGAAAGGCCCUGCUUUUGUGGGGUGCUCGAGUGGCGAACGGGUGAGUAACACGUGAGUAACCUGCCCUUGACUUUGGGAUAACUUCAGGAAACUGGGGCUAAUACCGGAUAGGAGCUCCUGCUGCGUGGUGGGGGUUGGAAAGUUUCGGCGGUUGGGGAUGGACUCGCGGCUUAUCAGCUUGUUGGUGGGGUAGUGGCUUACCAAGGCUUUGACGGGUAGCCGGCCUGAGAGGGUGACCGGCCACAUUGGGACUGAGAUACGGAGCAGACUCCUACGGGAGGCAGCAGGGGGGAAUAUUGCACAAUGGGCGGAAGCCGGAUGCAGCAACGCCGCGUGCGGGAUGACGGCCUUCGGGUUGUAAACCGCUUUCGCCUGUGACGAAGCGUGAGUGACGGUAAUGGGUAAAGAAGCACCGGCUAACUACGUG
rnacentral:rRNA from 1 species